rnacentral:lncRNA from 1 species
GGACCGCCCCUGGAAUUGACAGGGUCCCACUCGGCGGGGCCUCGGCGCGUCCCUCCUCGUAUCAUCCGGAGCCGACCGAGUCGAAGGCUGGGCUGGGGACCGAUCACGUCCGACCCGUCCAUCUCGGGCGCGCCCGGGUGAUGCCUCCGGAGAAACGGUAGUCUCGGCAUCGGAGGGCUGAUACAGCGUCAACUGCCGGUCCGCGCCCGCGGCGUCCCCCUGAUCGGUGGGUCCGGACCCGUCUGUCGGCGUCGGAGUCGCCUGCCGGCGGGACUUCUUCGCUGGUGGGGCCCCGCUCGGAGGAGCUCGUUUCUUCCUCCGGACUGCUUCCAGUAGGGACGUCCUACCAACAGCC